rnacentral:rRNA from 1 species
UGGGGAAUAUUGGACAAUGGGCGAAAGCCUGAUCCAGCCAUGCCGCGUGUGUGAAGAAGGUCUUCGGAUUGUAAAGCACUUUAAGUUGGGAGGAAGGGCAGUAAGCGAAUACCUUGCUGUUUUGACGUUACCGACAGAAUAAGCACCGGCUAACUCUGUGCCAGCAGCCGCGGUAAUACAGAGGGUGCAAGCGUUAAUCGGAAUUACUGGGCGUAAAGCGCGCGUAGGUGGUUCGUUAAGUUGAAUGUGAAAGCCCCGGGCUCAACCUGGGAACUGCAUCCAAAACUGGCGAGCUAGAGUAGGGCAGAGGGUGGUGGAAUUUCCUGUGUAGCGGUGAAAUGCGUAGAGAGCUGGAGGAAUACCGAUGGCGAAGGCAGCCAUCUGGCCUAACACUGACGCUGAGGUACGAAAGCAUGGGGAGCAAACAGG